CAAUAGCGUAUAUUAAAACUGUUGCGGUUAAAACGCUCGUAGUUGCACAUCUGUGGGAGAGGACUGGUCGACCCUAGCGGUACGUACUUUGUGCAUCUCUGACAUCUACCUGGAGAGAGCAGGUUCGCUUUGUUGCGUGCGUGCCCAACCCGGAUCUUUUACUUUGAGGAAAUGAGAGUGUUUCAAGCAGGCCGUUGCCAUGAAUACGUUAGCAUGGAAUAAUGACAUAGGACCUUGUGUCGUUGUUGUUGGUCGACGACACGGGGUAAUAAAAAUAGGGAUAGUUGGGGGCGAUUCGUAUUACAAUGUCAGAGGUGAAAUUCUUGGAUUAUUGUACGACGAACUACUGCGAAAGCAUUUGCCAAGGAUGUUUUUUAAAUCAAGAACGAAAGUUAGGGGAUCGAAGACGAUUAGAU
rnacentral:rRNA from 1 species